rnacentral:tRNA from 1 species
GGAGUUGUAGCUCAGCAGUAGAGCACUUGCCUCCUAUGUGAGGCACUGGGUUCGAUUCCCAGCACCA